rnacentral:rRNA from 1 species
GGAUGCGAUCAUACCAGCACUAAAGCACCGUAUCCCAUCAGAACUCCGAAGUUAAGCGUGCUUGGGCGAGAGUAGUACUAGGAUGGGUGACCUCCUGGGAAGUCCUCGUGUUGCAUUCU